GGUGAACGCUGGCGGCGUGCUUAAGACAUGCAAGUCGAACGGCAGUCUUCGGACUGUAGUGGCGCACGGGUGAGUAACGCGUAACUGACCUACCCCAAAGUCGCGGAUAACGAUUCGAAAGAAUCGCUAAUACGUGAUGUGCUGUCAGAUUGUGUUCUGCCAGUAAGGAUUGAUUGCUUUGGGAUGGGGUUGGGUUCCAUCAGCUAGUUGGUGGGGUAAAGGCCCACCAAGGCGACGACGGAUAGCCGGCCUGAGAGGGGGGCCGGCCACAGGGGCACUGAGACACGGGUCCCACUCCUACGGGAGGCAGCAGUUAGGAAUCUUCACAAUGGGCGAAAGCCUGAUGGAGCGACGCCGCGUGAGGGAUGAAGGUCUUCGGAUCGUAAACCUCUGAAUCAGGGACGAAAGACACUUCGGUGGGAUGACGGUACCUGAGUAAUAGCACCGGCUAACUCCGUGCCAGCCGCCGCCGUAAGAC
rnacentral:rRNA from 1 species